rnacentral:rRNA from 1 species
ACGAACGCUGGCGGCGUGCUUAACACAUGCCAGUCGAACGGAAAGGCCCUGCUUUUGUGGGGUGCUCGAGUGGCGAACGGGUGAGUAACACGUGAGUAACCUGCCCUUGACUUUGGGAUAACUUCAGGAAACUGGGGCUAAUACCGGAUAGGAGCUCCUGCUGCAUGGCGGGGGUUGGAAAGUUUCGGCGGUUGGGGAUGGACUCGCGGCUUAUCAGCUUGUUGGUGGGGUAGUGGCUUACCAAGGCUUUGACGGGUAGCCGGCCUGAGAGGGUGACCGGCCACAUUGGGACUGAGAUACGGCCCAGACUCCUACGGGAGGCAGCAGUGGGGAAUAUUGCACAAUGGGCGGAAGCCUGAUGCAGCAACGCCGCGUGCGGGAUGACGGCCUUCGGGUUGUAAACCGCUUUCGCCUGUGACGAAGCGUGAGUGACGGUAAUGGGUAAAGAAGCACCGGCUAACUACGUG